rnacentral:ncRNA from 1 species
GUGGGCGUGGUCACGGUGCAGCCGCAAACGGUGCCCAUCAUCACCGAGCUGCCAGGUCGCCUUGAAGCGUCGCGCAUCGCGCAGGUGCGCGCCCGGGUGGCGGGCAUCGUGCAGCAACGCAACUUCGUGGAAGGCUCCGAUGUGAAGGCCGGGCAGGUCUUGUUCCAGAUCGA